rnacentral:rRNA from 1 species
CCCUUAGAUGUUCUGGGCCGCACGCGCGCUACACUGAUGCAUUCAACGAGCCUAUCCUUGACCGACAGGUCCGGGUAAUCUUUGAAUCUGCAUCGUGACGGGGAUAGAUUAUUGCAAUUAUUAAUCUUCAACGAGGAAUGCCUAGUAGGCGCAAGUCAUCAGCUUGCAUCGAUUACGUCCCUGCCCUUUGUACACACCGCCCGUCGCUCCUACCGAUUGGGUGUGCUGGUGAAAUGUUCGGAUCGGCCGUUUGUCGCGGUUUCCGCGGCUCGUGGCUGAGAAGUUCAUUAAACCCUCCCACCUAGAGGAAGGAGAAGUCGUAACA